rnacentral:rRNA from 1 species
CCUACGGGAGGCAGCAGUGAGGAAUAUUGGUCAAUGGACGAGAGUCUGAACCAGCCAAGUAGCGUGAAGGAUGACUGCCCUAUGGGUUGUAAACUUCUUUUAUAGAGGAAUAAAACGAGGCACGUGUGCCUUUUUGCAUGUACUUUAUGAAUAAGGAUCGGCUAACUCCGUGCCAGCAGCCGCGGUAAUACGGAGGAUCCGAGCGUUAUCCGGAUUUGUUGGGUUUAAAGGGAGCGUAGAUGGGUUGGUAAGUCAGUUGUGAAAGUUUGCGGCUCAACCGUAAAAUUGCAAUUGAUACUGGCAGUCUUGAGUACAGUUGAGGUAGGCGGAAUUCGUGGUGUAGCGGUGAAAUGCUUAGAUAUCACGAAGAACCCCGAUUGCGAAGGCAGCUUACUAAACUGUGACUGACAUUGAUGCUCGAAAGUGUGGGUAUCAAACAGGAUUAGAUACCCCUGUAGUC